GGAUUUAACCACUGGAAUCAUAUGGAUUACUUUUAUGCUGCCUUUAUGCUUCAAAGUUCUGGCCACCUUUCACUUGCAUUUUAUGGCCAGAAAAGAAAGUCAUACACAUCUGGGAUGGCAUGGGGAGCGUAAAUCCAAAUCCUGAUGAGAACCAGAUUUUCCAUGCGUGAAAAAGGAGCGUCAUUGUCAUAGAAAUAUGCCUGACAUUCAACAGGGAUGCAGUUAAUGCACAAAAGAACUGUGCUAACACGGCAACCUCCGCCCCACCACCACCAGUUGAGUCCCAUCCUGCACGUGGGUAGGCUCCUCGCCCCUGCCUCCUAUUUCCGGCAGGAUAUGAUGGUUCCAAGUACAACUCCUUCGGACUGCCAGAUGGGGCUUACGCCAA